AUUGAACGCUGGCGGCAUGCCUUACACAUGCAAGUCGAACGGUAACAGGUCUUCGGAUGCUGACGAGUGGCGAACGGGUGAGAAUACAUCGGAACGUGCCCGAGAGUGGGGGAUAACGAAGCGAAAGCUUUGCUAAUACCGCAUACGAUCUCAGGAUGAAAGCAGGGGACCGCAAGGCCUUGCGCUCACGGAGCGGCCGAUGGCAGAUUAGGUAGUUGGUGGGAUAAAAGCUUACCAAGCCGACGAUCUGUAGCUGGUCUGAGAGGACGACCAGCCACACUGGGACUGAGACACGGCCCAGACUCCUACGGGAGGCAGCAGUGGGGAAUUUUGGACAAUGGGCGCAAGCCUGAUCCAGCCAUGCCGCGUGCAGGAUGAAGGCCUUCGGGUUGUAAACUGCUUUUGUACGGAACGAAAAGACUCUGGUUAAUACCUGGGGUCCAUGACGGUACCGUAAGAAUAAGCACCGGCUAACUACGUG
rnacentral:rRNA from 1 species